GUUUCCGUAGGUGAACAUGCGGAAGGAUCAUUG
rnacentral:rRNA from 2 species